UACAGAGGUGGCAAGCGUUGUUCGGAAUUACUGGGCGUAAAGGGCGCGUAGGCGGCCAUCUAAGUCAGACGUGAAAUCCCCCGGCUUAACCUGGGAACUGCGUCUGAUACUGGACGGCUGGAGUUUGGGAGAGGGAUGUAGAAUUCCAGGUGUAGCGGUGAAAUGCGUAGAUAUCUGGAGGAACACCGAUGGCGAAGGCAGCCCCCUGGGCUGACACUGACGCUCAGGCACGAAAGCGUGGGGAGCAAACAGG
rnacentral:rRNA from 1 species